rnacentral:sRNA from 1 species
CGUGGACGUACCUCUCGGAGGAGCUCGCCAGCGCCCUGGACGGGGACCUGAUCCCCCCCGCGGCCAAGGCGCUCAUCGUGCAGAAGGGCAUGGACGGGGCGCUGGACUGGACCGCCAAGGUGACUAAGG